rnacentral:lncRNA from 1 species
CUGCUGUGCUCAGCAGAAGGAGGGAUGCUCUGCCUGAGGGAUUCUCUGCCCCAGCAAUGCUCUGGGAUUGGGGGCUCGACCCCUCUUCCACCUGCCACAGAAAUGCAAGAGCUCCCCCUGUGCUCUGAGUGCAGACUAUGUCCUUGGGAGAGGAUGUCUCCUGCUUCCCCUGACACCCAUGCUGUCGUUUUAAUCAGAAUUGCUGUCUGUUUCACAAGCCAGGAAUUGCAAGAGAUAUAAAAUCUAACACACAAGAGGAAAUCCCAGCCCAUGGAAGAUCUUUUGCCACACCAUUUCUAGCUUGAAGGACAAUUAAAGCAGCCUGAUUUAUGAUCCUAGAUUUGUAAUAAUCUUGCACUGCUUAACCAAGAGAUGACAUCCUAUCAGGUAUCCUCUGGACUUGCAUGAAACAUAUAUUCUGCAGUUUGGUGGGUUUGCUGCUGUUUACCUUUAGCUGUAAACAUUUGGCAUGAUCUAGCAGUUCAACAUUUUCUCCUAAUACCAGAUUUCACAAAGAACUUGCAAACACUUCCCAGAGACCCAGGCCUGCAGGAUUUCCUCCACUGCAGGAUAGGACUUUCACAUGGGACAGUCUUCUGCAAGGCCUGGGCUGAAGCAUGCGUUGGUCUGCAAAAUGGGACUUCUACUCCUGUACUUUAAUGAUUUUCCUCUCUAAAGGGUUAGUGCCCUGCCAAAUGACUUAGACUGUUCUUUCUCACUUUGAAGCUGUAAGGUACUGGAAAAGAAACCGGUUUAACAAGACUGGGGUCACAAAUGUACACAGCAAUCAGGCGAGGAUGAUUGUCAUCCAGGAGAAAGAAAGAAUGGAUGAAGAAAAAGGAAAAGAAAAGGAAAAAGAGAACCUGAAGGAUAAGCACAGACACUGAAAAACUGAAGCUAGUCUUCCUUGUGCUCACAUAAAGACGUGAGAUAGAAAAGUGUCCUCUUAACCCAAGCUCCUGAAGAAAGAUUGCUCUCUGUCAGUCCUAAAUGCUGAGGACUUAGCAGUAGGCAAGGUGCUUUCUUGCUCCACUGUCAAGUAUCUUUGUGAUCCAAUCUUAUUUUGAUUUGCAUUGCUUUUGCCAUAGUUUUUUUCUGAAAGAUGACAUCUGAAGGUAUGUCACAAAAUAGUUGUUGUUUUACAUUGUUGCAUCAUCAAGAUAUGAAUAGCUGUUCCACAAAGAUUUAGAUAGAAAUCUUUUGUCUCUCCCUUCCCUUGCAAUAGCAUGAGACUUGCAGCAGAUGCCAAACAGGCUAUCCCACAAACAAAAUGUGUGAAAUAGUUUCACUGGUGUAAGCUUGCACUGUAAUCAAAGAAUGAGGAGGGGGUAGAAUCAAAUAAUGCAAUACUGAUGAAAUCACUGUAGGCCCACAGGGUAAAUAAAUCAAACCAUUGUCUUUAUUUCUACUGUAGC